CGGCGCGCCACAGUACGCUGUGCGACGUGUGCGCCACGCUCUCAUGCACGCACAAACACGCACAAACAGCGAGUGCGCGGAGAUUCACGCUUCCAUCUUGGCAUCCAUGUACACUGAAAGGGAUAUAUCCGUGUCCACCGACUCCGCCUUGUCCGGCCCAUCAUCCUGCUGCGUGUCAUCCUUGUCGCCGUCGUCCUCCCUCUCGGCCUCUGCGCACCGGCGAGGCCACGGCGCGCCGCCGCCGCCGCCACUGCAGCGUUUUUUUGUGCCUGAGCCACGCGGCGUGGAGCAGGAGACGAGCUGUGCUCUGUCCUUCGCCGGCAUCGGCGGGUUGGCCGGGGCGCUACUGGCCCUGCUGCGCGCCACCGAGUAUGAAGUGUACCACGUUCAGUGUGUCGCAACGGAGGCCAUGGCAAACCUGCAGGUGGUACGUCUGCAUCUUAUUGAGCGUACGCUGAACGCUACCGUCGGGAUGGAGGAGGCGUGCCCGUCGCAAGAGGACGGCUGACAUUGGCGUACUGCACCGUCGAUCGCUCAAUGAGGAACGUGGCCGCCACACCCAGCACCGUCCUCCGCAGCAUCCUCCCCCGUCCCCUCCCCAAUCGUGCUGGGCCUCUGUUGGACAGUUCGUCCUCGCACCCUCGCCCUACCUCCGCCACACCGACACACAUGAGUAACUUGUGUCUGUUCUUACGCUCCUGCUAACCACUGCUGUUCUAUUCACUUCUGUUGUUGCUACUGACUGCCGGCUCUUCUUCUCGACACCGCUGCAUGCGUGGAUGCACUUGUUUCUCCGUCAAGGAGUUCGCUACCUGGUGCACAGAGCCACCAGAGCGAGUGCGGCUAUCUUCAUGUACCGCAGGAAAGGCGCCAUGCACGCGCGAUGCCGUAGCCGCGCGUGCAUGGGAGGGAGAGACAUGCACGGAAAUCGAAUUGCACGGACGAGGGGGGAGGCGGGGGAGUGCUCAAGCGGUGAAGCGAAACCGACGGAAGGCACCGCUUCCCGCAUGGGUGAUUGGGUGUGUAUACGGACGGUCCAGUGUGUGUACCUGUCACAGCGUUCUCGCCAUAACACCCCUCCUCUCACCAGCCGCUCCUCUUCGAUCUCGACUGUCUCACCGCCAACACACAGGGCGCGGCACAUGCAAGGUGCCUGACUCUUCUUAUUUCGUACCUCACCCUGGUCUUUGCCCCUCCCUACCCAUCCGCCCUUCGGCUGCUCCGCUACACAUGAGCACAG
rnacentral:misc_RNA from 1 species